rnacentral:rRNA from 1 species
GCGAAUCUGCGAAGGCAAGCGGAUCUCUUAAAGCCGUUCUCAGUUCGGACUGUAGGCUGCAACUCGCCUACACGAAGCUGGAAUCGCUAGUAAUCGCGGAUCAGCACGCCGCGGUGAAUACGUUCCCGGGCCUUGUACACACCGCCCGUCACACCAUGAGAGUCUGUAACACCCAAAGCCGGUGGGAUAACCUUUAUAGGAGUCAGCCGUCUAAGGUAGGACAGAUGAUUAGGGUGAAGUCGUAACAAGGUAAC